rnacentral:rRNA from 1 species
GAUGAACGCUGGCGGCGUGCUUAACACAUGCAAGUCGAACGGAAAGGCUCCUGCUUGCAGGGGUACUCGAGUGGCGAACGGGUGAGUAACACGUGGGUGAUCUGCCCUGCACUUCGGGAUAAGCCUGGGAAACUGGGUCUAAUACCGGAUAGGACGAUGGUUUGGAUGCCAUUGUGGAAAGUUUUUCGGUGUGGGAUGAGCUCGCGGCCUCUCAGCUUGUUGGUGGGGUAAUGGCCUACCAAGGCGUCGACGGGUAGCCGGCCUGGGAGGGUGUACGGCCACAUUGGGACUGAGAUACGGCCCAGACUCCUACGGGAGGCAGCAGUGGGGAAUAUUGCACAAUGGGCGCAAGCCUGAUGCAGCGACGCCGCGUGGGGGAUGACGGCCUUCGGGUUGUAAACUCCUUUCGCUAGGGACGAAGCGUUUUGUGACGGUACCUGGAGAAGAAGCACCGGCUAACUACGUG